GGGAUGACACAGUAGGAUAAGCUAAGCACACUGUUGGUUAUGUGUGCCCAAGCAUUGAGGCAGUCAAAGUAGGCAAAUCCGCUUUGAUAAUGCUGGGAUGUGAUGGGGAGCGAAAUUUAGUAGCGAAGUAGCUGAUUUCACACUGUCAAGAAAAGUCUCUAUCGAGGUUAAAGGUACCCGUACCGCAAACCGACACAGGUGGGUGAGGAGAGUAUCCUAAGGCCAGCGAGAGAACUGUUGUUAAGGAACUCGGCAAAAUGACCCCGUAACUUAGGGAUAAGGGGUGCCACCAUCAGGUGGCCGCAGAGAAUAGGCCCAAGCGACUGUUUACCAAAAACAUAGGUUUCUGCUAAGUCGCAAGACGAUGUAUAGGAGCUGACGCCUGCCCGGUGCUGGAAGGUUAAGGGGAUCUGUUAGAGCAAUCGAAGCAGUGAACUUAAGCCCCAGUAAACGGCGGCCGUAACUAUAACGGUCCUAAGGUAGCGAAAUUCCUUGUCGGGUAAGUUCCGACCCGCACGAAAGGCGUAACGAUUUGGGCACUGUCUCAACAACAGACUCGGUGAAAUUGUAAUUCCGGUGAAGAUGCCGGAUACCUGCGACAGGACGGAAAGACCCCAUGGAGCUUUACUGUAGCUUGACAUUGGGUCUUGGUACUACAUGUACAGGAUAGGUGGGAGGCUUUGAAACCAGGACGCCAGUUUUGGCGGAGCCAUCCUUGGGAUACCACCCUUGUAGUACUGGG
rnacentral:rRNA from 1 species